CGCGGGGUGGAGCAGUCUGGAGGCUCGUCGGGCUCAUAACCCGGAGGUCGCAGGUUCAAAUCCUGCCCCCGCAA
rnacentral:tRNA from 1 species